rnacentral:rRNA from 1 species
UACGGGGGGGGCAAGCGUUGUUCGGAAUUACUGGGCGUAAAGGGCUCGUAGGCGGCCAACUAAGUCACACGUGAAAUCCCUCGGCCCAACCGGGGAACUGCGUGUGAGACUGGAAGGCUUGAAUCCGGGAGAGGGAUGCGGAAUUCCAGGUGUAGCGGUGAAAUGCGUAGAUAUCUGGAGGAACACCGGUGGCGAAGGCGGCAUCCUGGACCGGCAUUGACGCUGAGGCGCGAAAGCUAGGGGAGCAAACGGG